rnacentral:rRNA from 1 species
CCUACGGGGGGCAGCAGUGGGGAAUAUUGGACAAUGGGGGGAACCCUGAUCCAGCCAUGCCGCGUGUGUGAAGAAGGCCCUCGGGUUGUCAAGCACUUUCAGUGAGGAAGAACGCCUGGUGGUUAAUACCCAUCAGGAAAGACAUCACUCACAGAAGAAGCACCGGCUAACUCCGUGCCAGCAGCCGCGGUAAUACGGAGGGUGCGAGCGUUAAUCGGAAUUACUGGGCGUAAAGCGCGUGUAGGUGGCUUGAUAAGCCGGUUGUGAAAGCCCCGGGCUCAACCUGGGAACGGCAUCCGGAACUGUCAAGCUAGAGUGCAGGAGAGGAAGGUAGAAUUCCCGGUGUAGCGGUGAAAUGCGUAGAGAUCGGGAGGAAUACCAGUGGCGAAGGCGGCCUUCUGGACUGACACUGACACUGAGGUGCGAAAGCGUGGGUAGCAAACAGGAUUAGAUACCCCGGUAGUC